AACAACUGGGUCAGCAAGGCCACUUUCUCUUCUGGGGUUCUAAGUAGACCACAUGAGUCCUCCUGGGGGUUAAGAGUCUUAUGUGGUCCUGCAACUCUAUGCUGAAGCUGGGCUGCCUUAAUACUAACUGCCCAUCAGCCUGCAGCUCUGCACGCCAUCCACUGGGAG